UAUCUUGUGUCAAAAGAUGCGCUCAAUCUAACGGUACAAAGGACUCCAUCCAUAGCUAAACAUCCGACGCAUUUGUGUAGAACUGCACUCAAAAGGCUCCAAAAUCACUAUAUUUCUCCAGAACGUACCUGAACCUGUAAACACUCAAAUAGACUCUAUAUAGUAGUAAAUAUAUAUUAAAACACUUGUAAACCAUGGCUAAAAGUGGAUAAAAU
rnacentral:lncRNA from 1 species